rnacentral:sRNA from 1 species
UUGGCGGACCGCGUGUUUGUCUAUAUGUCGAAUGGAUGUGGCCCUCCUAUCUGGCGUUAAACUAAUGCCGGGGGCAGCCUGUCGACAGCCAACCACCUUGCCACGCCCCACACCCCACGCCUUGUAAUGACGUCAUUCAAGCGCUGACAAUCAAAUAAAUCAUAGUGCACGCGGUUCGGCCGAUUGAAAGAUCGAGUUAAUCUGAAGAGGAACUCCUGGUUCUUUCUUUCGUUGCCAGAGUGAAAUUAAUUUGUGAAAAUAUUCUAUAACAUUGCAGCACGACGACAAGCCAGAUGUAAAGAACCCAUUUCUUCUAUUUUUGCUCGCUACUAAUUGCAACGGCUAGCCCAGAGAGUUUGUGCGUUCGUCCCACCAAAUUUAUGAUUUGUGUGAUUGCCUGACCAAGGAAAAGGACUCUUGGAUUAUGAUGUCCGUUAGAUCUGCUUUAGCCUGCUCCUCGCGCUUAGCUGCUUUCCUCAUUUCUUGAUCCCGCUGACGGUUCUGCUGCUGCUGCUGGCAAUAAUCCGGCUGUCAAUAC